ACAGGGGCAAAUUCAGAAAUUCAGUCUGCACCGCGGACACAGAUCUACGGGUUUAAAGGCGAGAGAACCGGACGAACGGACCGACGAAAGUCACAAAAUUGCUGGGAGCUUGAACCCGAGAAAGGCAAAGGAUAAAGAGAUGAAGACAAGAAAAGCAACAGAGGAGAGAAGAACAUGUUACAGAGAGGAACAUGUUACAAAGAAGAAGGGAUGGUCAUGACAGCACCUAAAAAAACUUGUGAAAAUGUAAGCUGACUCGGAUGACAGAGAAAAACGGACAUUAACAGAUGACAGCAAAGGAGCUGGGGAAUAUGACCAUAACUUACCACUGGAGGAGAGGGGAGGCUAAAUGGAGCUGGCAACUUUAUCUCCCAAUAAAACCAGUAUAAGGUGAGAAAAGAUGUGAAAUGGCAUCAAGGACGUGGAGGAUUGCUUCCUACUGUCAGAAGAAAAGGUGAAGGGCAUCCAGAGAUGACCACUCUAACCUCGUUCCAGACUGUUAGAGUCCAGUAUCUGAGGACACGAGAUCAAGAGCCGAGAGCCAGACUACACAUCAGCCAUUUAUUCGCCUUUAUCUGGACGGACUGAUAGCAUCACCUUUGUCAGAGUUCCUCAGGAUUAUGUGUCCACGUCUCACAUUCUUGCAGCACAAAGCACAAUCCACAUGCACAAUGGGGAAAGUAGACUGACAAAAGAUUGAGGACUGGAGUGUAGGAGGAUGAUUUUACUUUCUCUUGUUUGUGUUUUUAUUUAUUAACCGUUUAAUGUUGA
rnacentral:lncRNA from 1 species